rnacentral:rRNA from 1 species
CCUACGGGAGGCAGCAGUGAGGAAUAUUGGUCAAUGGACGCAAGUCUGAACCAGCGAUGCCGCGUGCAGGAAGACGUCUCUAUGAGUUGUAAACUCCUUUUGUACGAGGGUAAACGCAGAUACACGUAUCUGUCUGAAAGUAUCGUACGAAUAACGAUCGGCUGACUCCGUGCCAGCAGCCGCGGUAAUACGGAGGAUUCAAGCUGUAUCCGGAUUUGUUGGGUUUAAGGGGUGCGUAGGGGGUCGGAUAAGUUGGAGGUGAAACCCCGAGGCUCAACUUCGGAAUUGACUCUGAUACUGUUCGGUUAGAGAGUAGUUGCGGUAGGAGGAAUGUAUGGUGUAGCGGUGAAAUGCUUAGAGAUCAUACAGAACACAGAGUGCGAAGGCAGCUUACCAAGCUAGUUCUGACGUUGAGGCACGAAAGCGUGGGGAGCAAACAGGAUUAGAUACCCUGGUAGU